AUAUUGGACAAUGGGCGAAAGCCUGAUCCAGCCAUGCCGCGUGAGUGAAGAAGGCCUUCGGGUUGUAAAGCUCUUUCGACGGGGACGAUGAUGACGGUACCCGUAUAAGAAGCCCCGGCAAACUUCGUGCCAGCAGCCGCGGUAAUCCGAAGGGGGCUAGCGUUGUUCGGAAUUACUGGGCGUAAAGCGCACGUAGGCGGAUUGUUAAGUCGGGGGUGAAAUCCCGGGGCUCAACCCCGGAACUGCCUUCGAUACUGGCAAUCUAGAGUCCGGAAGAGGUGAGUGGAAUUCCGAGUGUAGAGGUGAAAUUCGUAGAUAUUCGGAGGAACACCAGUGGCGAAGGCGGCUCACUGGUCCGGUACUGACGCUGAGGUGCGAAAGCGUGGGGAGC
rnacentral:rRNA from 1 species